rnacentral:rRNA from 1 species
AGAGUUUGAUCCUGGCUCAGAACGAACGCUGGCGGCGUGGAUAAGACAUGCAAGUCGAGCGCUGAUUUCGGGGUAGCAAUAUUCCGGAGUCGGAGCGGCGCAAGGGUGCGUAACACGUGGGUAAUCUGCCAUGAAGUCUGGAAUAACUUGCUGAAAGGCGAGCUAAUACCGGAUGUGACCAUCGGGAGGCAUCUCCUGAUGGUUAAAGCUGGGGACCGUAAGGCCUGGCGCUUCCUGAUGAACCCGCGGCCUAUCAGCUAGUUGGUGAGGUAACGGCCCACCAAGGCUAAGACGGGUAGCUGGUCUGAGAGGACGACCAGCCACACUGGAACUGAGACACGGUCCAGACACCUACGGGUGGCAGCAGUCGAGAAUUUUUCACAAUGGGCGCAAGCCUGAUGGAGCGACGCCCGUGGGGGAUGAAUGGCUUCGGCCCGUAAACCCCUGUCAUUCGCGAUCAAACCUCGUUAUUUAAAAGAUGACGAGCUGAUAGUAGCGGAAGAGGAAGGGACGGCUAACUCUGUGCCAGCAGCCGCGGUAAUACAGAGGUCCCGAGCGUUGUUCGGAUUCACUGGGCGUAAAGGGUGCGUAGGUGGUGAGGUAAGUCGGAUGUGAAAGCUCGGAGCUCAACUCCGAAAUGGCAUUGGAAACUACCUUGCUCGAGGGUUGGAGGGGGGACUGGAAUUCUCGGUGUAGCAGUGAAAUGCGUAGAUAUCGAGAGGAACACCAGUGGCGAAGGCGAGUCCCUGGACAACUCCUGACACUGAGGCACGAAAGCUAGGGGAGCAAACAGGAUUAGAUACCCUAGUAGUCC